ACUGUCAGGAAGUCACAAAGGACUGCGUGCUGAGGUUAAAGGUUCAGUCGAAUGAGGACAUGAACGAUCCUGCAGUACAGGAUGGAAUCUUGCAGAAGAUCCAGCAGAAAAUGAUGGAGCAGGGGAUUGCUAACAAAUUCAAACUUAAAUGGAGGAUGCAACCGGACGGAAAUGUGUUUCACAAGAUUGUGUAAAGUAAA